rnacentral:sRNA from 1 species
AGACUUAUAAACAUUCAGCAUAGAGUGUAAGGCUUAUUUUCCCUGAGCACAUUAUAUUGGCCCCUAACAAUAGCCCAAAUUAGCCAACACAGAUUAAAAUCGGGCCAACAUAAUGUGCAGUUUUAAUGGGGAGUCGCUACUAAAGUUUAAGAACCGCUGACAAGUAAUUACAACGCAGUUUGACACCAUUUGUUGUGUUCGUCUAAUGUAAGGUGGUGGUGGACUCCGUUUGUUACCCUGCUCCUCCCAGACAGAACACUUUUUGUCAUGGCCACUUAUUUACAUGGUUUUGAUGAGAAGUCAAGAAUGAUGAGACGAUCCGUUGCCAGAUAUGUGCUGUUUGGUUUAAUCCUAAUCUGUCGUGCUGUGAGUGUCUCUGUAAUGAAGCGAUUCCCAACAAUAGAUCACAUCGUUCAAGCUGGUUUCAUCACUAAGGAAGAAGCAGAGAUGUAUGAGAAAGUUCAAUGUCGGUAUCUCAAGUUCUGGGU